AGUUCGGAUUGUAGUCUGCAACUCGACUACAUGAAGCUGGAAUCGCUAGUAAUCGCGGAUCAGAAUGCCGCGGUGAAUACGUUCCCGGGUCUUGUACACACCGCCCGUCACACCAUGGGAGUCGGAAAUGCCCGAAGUCUGUGACCCAACCUUAGGGAGGGAGCAGCCGAAGGCAGGUCGGAUGACUGGGGUGAAGUCGUAACAAGGUAUC
rnacentral:rRNA from 1 species